rnacentral:rRNA from 1 species
UACGUAGGCAGCGAGCGUUGUUCGGAGUUACUGGGCGUAAAGGGUGUGUAGGCGGUUGUUUAAGUUUGGUGUGAAAUCUCCCGGCUCAACUGGGAGGGUGCGCCGAAUACUGAAUGACUUGGAGUGCGGGAGAGGAAAGUGGAAUUCCCGGUGUAGCGGUGAAAUGCGUAAAUAUCGGGAGGAACACCUGUGGCGAAGGCGGCCCCCUGGUUGGAUACUGACGCUGAUACGCGAAAGCGUGGGGAGCAAACAGG